GCAAGCCGAGCGGUAUUUGUCUUUCGGGACAGAGAGAGCGGCGUACGGGUGCGGAACACGUGUGCAACCUGCCUUUAUCUGGGGGAUAGCCUUUCGAAAGGAAGAUUAAUACCCCAUAAUAUAAUUGAUGGCAUCAUUGAUUAUUGAAAACUCCGGUGGAUAGAGAUGGGCACGCGCAAGAUUAGAUAGUUGGUGAGGUAACGGCUCACCAAGUCGAUGAUCUUUAGGGGGCCUGAGAGGGUGAUCCCCCACACUGGUACUGAGACACGGACCAGACUCCUACGGGAGGCAGCAGUGAGGAAUAUUGGACAAUGGGUUAGCGCCUGAUCCAGCCAUCCCGCGUGAAGGACGACUGCCCUAUGGGUUGUAAACUUCUUUUGUACAGGGAUAAACCUACCCUCGUGAGGGUAGCUGAAGGUACUGUACGAAUAAGCACCGGCUAACUCCGUGCCAGCAGCCGCGGUAAUACGGAGG
rnacentral:rRNA from 1 species